CCUACGGGAGGUAGCAGUGAGGAAUAUUGGUCAAUGGACGAGAGUCUGAACCAGCCAAGUAGCGUGAAGGAUGACUGCCCUAUGGGUUGUAAACUUCUUUUAUAAAGGAAUAAAACGAGGCACGUGUGCCUUUUUGCAUGUACUUUAUGAAUAAGGAUCGGCUAACUCCGUGCCAGCAGCCGCGGUAAUACGGGGGAUCCGAGCGUUAUCCGGAUUGAUUGGGUUGAAGGGGUGCGUAGGCGGACUGUUAAGUCAGCGGUAAAAGCCCGGGGCUAAACCCCGGCGAGCCGUUGAAACUGGCUGUCUUGAGAUGUCGAGAGGUAUGCGGAAUGCGCAGUGUAGCGGUGAAAUGCUUAGAUAUUGCGCAGAACUCCGAUUGCGAAGGCAGCAUACCGGCGGCGAUCUGACGCUGAGGCACGAAAGCGUGGGUAUCGAACAGGAUUAGAUACCCUGGUAGUC
rnacentral:rRNA from 1 species